rnacentral:lncRNA from 1 species
UCACUUCCCCUGAUGCGGUUUCUCCCACGUUCACAUGCAAACCUACUGUUCUCUCUCUAAACCCAUAUCUACUCCCAUUAAGCUUAAACACAAGGUAUGCCGCAUAGUUUGUUCCGGAAGAUAAAUUUCUGGUCUCAAUCCUUCCCUUCACAUCCAGCCACCACACUAUCCUGAGCUCAGCAACUUCAGAGAACCUGUCAAUAUGUUGGAGACAGAACCACAAUAACUUGAGCUCAUAAAAAAUGUCAUUCUAUAAGUUGUAGAUUUAUGCAGAUAAGCAUAGUUCUUUUCUUGGCAAUUGAUAUUGUUUUCCCUAGCCAACAAAGUCGCGUAAUCUGUUGAUAAAGUACUAAAUCAGGGAUCAAACCCUGACAGUCACAAAUAUAAGAAAAAAGACAUUGUUUUUCCCAAGCAGCAGUAUUGAGUCAUGGCCAAUUAAGAUCUUAAGAUGAGAAUAUCAUUGAACAAAAGAAAAAAAAAAAAGGACAAGAACAAACCUAGAUUCUGGGAGAGAUGUCCAUGUCCAAUACUGAGGUGUAUCUCCCCAUAUAAUUGACAGUGCUCUUGCUCCUAGCAUAUAGCAUUUUUUCCCAGUCUCUUUCUCCAAUUGAAAGCUCUAUUUAGACACCAGCAACCUUAAUUUUUCAGAUAAAUGGACCAAAUGGAGCAAAACAACACAUAUUUAAACCAUAUAGUACAAAUUGUGGCUUUGAAGAAAUUGAUCAACUUAGCCAUGAUUCCUUCUGGUCCAUUAUCAAACAUCCCUUAAAAAUGCUAUAUAUGAUUAAAAUUAUUCUAAAAAUUAAAUUUAAAACAUCCCCUAAACAGAUGUUCUUGUAGCACAAAGUUGGAAAAGUGGAUACAGGGUCAAAUUUGAACUUACCAUGGUACCAUUUUCAAUCAGAAUGGGAUGAAAGGAGAGAUGAAAAUAAAGACGCUUCUUUGCCCAUGAAAGCAAUGACGUAGAUGAGUAUCUUGAAAUGAUUUCCUGAUAAUCACAAGGCAGAAACCUCUCCCACACAUCAUCAGAGUCUGCAACUGGUCUCAAGGCAGGAGAAACCAGGGCCGAUCGACAUGCGUCUCGAGGCGAAGUCAAUGAUAUGAUCAGACACAUGCACUCUUCGGGCAACAACUUUGUAAAAUCCAUUGUUCUUCUAAAUUUUGGAUCAGACAUUAUAUAAGGAAAAAUGGGAUUUCACCUGUUCUCUCUUCACUUUCUUGUAAUCACUUCUUUUAUAGUAUUACAGGUCGGUCGUCUGCUGGAGGUUUUUUUGUUAUUUUUUUUAUUAUUACAGGUCGGUCGUCUGCUGGAGACGACGUGUCUAGGUUUGGUUCACAAAAUAUUCACUUAAAUCCUUCGCCGUUAAGUUUCGUUGACUACUAGAAUUUAAUAAUUAUUUAAAUUAUUUAUAUUUUAUUAUAAUUAAAUAACUUAUGAAUUUUUUAUUUUAGAUGAAUUAAACUUAAAUAAUUAUUUUUAUUUCGAUUGGAAUCCUCAAUUAAAUAAAUAUAAAUAUUAAUGAUUAAUCACUUUUUGUUUAAUAAAAAUUUAAUUGAUAAAAAUAAAUAUUUAAAAAUUUAAUUAAUUAUAAUAAAAUAAUAAAAUUUUGGGUGAUUAUUAAAUUUUUAUUUGAUGAUUUUUUUUAUCUUUUAACUUAAUUGUUUUUUCUGUUAAAUAUUUGAUAAAUGCAUUUUUUAAAAAUUUAAUUAAUAAACGGAAGAAAUAUGUAUUCUCAUUUUCUUUUUUUUUUUUAAACUCAUCUAAAUAUAAAUAAUGAUUUUGUAAAUUACUUUGAAUAUUCUAUAACUUAUAAUUUCUUGUUAACCUUAUCUCUAUUAGUACUUUCAUCCAAUUAAACAAAGCCACUUAACAUUUAAACCCUAUCUAAUUUGCUCAACAAAUUAGAAAAAUCAAUGAGCCUCUUUUAAUAAUCCAUUCCUCUUCAAAAUUUUCCCUUCCCUCAUGUUUCUAUCAAUUUUCUCUCUUCUUAUUUCCUUGUUUAUUCUCAAUUUUUCGUCUAACUAUUGUUUUCAUAAAAUUUCACAAAUAAUUUAUUUAAAAAAAUUCUUAUCAUAUCUUUAAAAAAUAUUUUGUAAAAACUAACAAGAAAUUAACUUAAUUGUUAAGGAUAAUUCACUUCGAUGUAAAAAUUUUAGAUUUUAAAUUUGAAUCAAAUUAAUAAUUUUUUUGUUAAAAUCAUCUUAAAUAUAUAAUUUUUAAUCAUUAUUUUUAAUUUAUUAAAUAUGAUAUAUUUUAUUUUAAUUUGUAAAAACUGAACAAUCAUAUGAAUACAUGAUUUUUUAUCACUUAAUUUUUUUUUUAUUAUUACAAAUCGGUCGUCUGCUGGAGACGACUUAUCUAGGGUUGAUUGACAAAAUAUUCACUUAUAUCCUUCAUUGUUAAGUUUCGUUGACUACUAGAAUUCAAUAAUUAUUUCAUUUUUUAUAUUGUAUUAUAAUUAAUUAAAUUAUAAAAUUUUUAUUUUAUGUGAAUAAAAUCUUAAAUAUUUUUUUAAUUUGAAUCCUCAAUUAAAUGAAAAUAAAAGUUAAUGGCUAAUCAUUUUUCUUUUAUUUAAAAGAAUAUAAGUUAGUUGAAUAUUUCUUUUAAUUUAAUUUUUUUUUUGUAAAAUUUAUAAUUUUAGCAGAAUUUUGUAAAUCUUCUAGCUUAUGAGAUAGGUGUCACAUAUUUAAAAACAGAUUCUGUAAUUUCUUUUUUUAAAAAUCUCUAUAAUACUCUUAAUAAUUCACAAAACUCAUUUUCUUUUUAUUUUUUUAAAAACUCAUCUAAAUAUAAAUAAUGAUUUUGUAAAUUACUUUAAAUAUACUAUAAAUUAUAAUUUAUUGUUAACCUUAUAUCUAUUGGUACUUUCAUCCAAUUAAACAAAGCCAAUUAACAUUUAAACCCUAUUUAAUUUGCUCAACAAAUUAGAAAAAUCAAUGUGCCUCUUUUAAUAAUCCAUUCCUCUUCAAAAUUUUCCUUACCCUCAUGUUUCUAUCAUUUUUCUGUCUUCCUAAUUCCCUGUUUAUUCUUAAUUUCCCGUCUAACGACUAUUUUCGUAAAAUGUCACAAACAAUUUUUUUUUAAAAAAUUUCUAUCAUAUCCUUAAAAAAUGUUUUGCAAAAACCAACAUGAUUAAAUCAAUUGUUAAAGAUCCUUCACUUUGACAUAAAAGUUUUGGAUCUUAAAUUUGAGUCAUAUUAAUGAUUUUUUUUGUUAAAGUUAUCUCUAAUACAUGAUUUUCAGUCAUUAUUUUUAAUUAUCGAAUAUGAUAUAUUUUAUUUUAAUUUAAAAACUGAACAAUUUAUUUAUCAUGAAAUUUUUUUAAAAAAAUGUUUUGUGAAAAGUAAAUUUUGUAGUUUUUUUUUUCAAUUAAUGAUAAAUUCUCAAUCUCUCCCUCUAUUUUUCUUUUUAUCUAUCAGUAUUAAGACUAGAAAUAUAAAUCAUACAUUAAUAUUAAUAAGUUAUACGGGUUCAAUUCGAAUAAAAUUUGAAUUCGAUUCAAUUAUUAUUGAGUCGAACUCGAGCUCGAGUAGCUCGACUUAUCAAUCGAGUCAAGUUCAAACAUUCUUAUACUUAGAUCAAGUAACUCACGAACCUAAUUGAAUUUUUAUAUUUUAAUAUAUUUAAUUAAUAAAAUAUCUCGAAUUAAAGCUCGAGUAUAAAUAAUCAAGCUUUUAUCGAAUAUAAAAAUCGAAUUUAUUUUUACAUGGUAAUUAAACGUAAUCAAAUGAGCCCGAAUAAUUUAAUUUUUAUCUUGAGUCGAAUUCAAACUAAAAAUAUAAAAUUCGAUCGAGUUUGAAUUAAGUUUUAAAUCUUAAAUUUCAAAUCAAAUUUGAGUUUAAACUUGAUAUUGUGUCGUAACGAUUUUGGAGCUGUCCGACGAAUUUAAAAAUUAAAACAAAAAAACAAAAAACAGAGUCGCCACCAAUCUUUUUUGGCUAGGUGCAAUUGACCACUUAUUAAAAUUAGUUAAAAUUUAUUAAAAAAAUAAUUUUAUGGUAUGCAAAACAGUCUAGAUCCAAGAGUCGGUUAUACGUGGAAAAAGAUUAGUACACCCAUAGCACCUAUUUAAAAACGGUACCACUUAACUACAUGUUAUCUUUUGAUUUUGAUAAAAACAAUCUCAUUUUCGGUGUUUGAAAAAUAAUUUUCUUGAUUUUUUUUCAUUUAUUGGAAAUUAGUUUUUUUAUUUAUAUUAUAUUAUCUUUUUAUUAUUUAUUGUUCAAAUUUUAUUCGAGAAAAAUAAAUUGAAACCCUUUUAUUGAAAUAAUUUUUAAAAUAUUCUAGUACUUUGAUAACAUUAGAAGAACUCUUUCUCACCUAGAGAUUUCUUAGGUAUUGCUUCUCGAAAUACCUUAUAAUCUCAUCUUCAGAGACUCGAAUUUAUCUUUCGUAAAAACUAUGCCAUGCAUGCAAUACACAUGAUACUAAGUUAAUGCACACAUUUUAUUAAUCAUUUUUUUAAAAAUUUUAUUGAUUUAUUGAUUUUUAUUAUUUAAAAUUUUAGAGAAAAAAGGAAUUUUUAUUAUAUUGAAGAUUUUUCAUAAAUAUUUCAAUAUACUAGUAAUAUUUUAAAAAAAUCUUCUCACUUAGGUAUUUUUUAAAGCAUCUCUAUUCGGAAUAUUUUUAGAAUUCCGUCAUCGGAUAAAAUUUCCUUUUUUCCAUUCAUUUUUUGAUCACUUAUUCUUAAUUUAUUAGUUAAAUUUUAUUUUUUAAUUUUGUAACAGGAAAAAAUUUUUUUUUUAUUGUAUUGAAAACUUUUUAUAAAUACUCCAAUACACUGGUAGUAUUUAAAAAAAAACUUUUCACCUAGAGAUUUUGUAAGUAUCACUACUUGAAGUAUCUAUAAAUCUCAUCGUUGAAUAAAAUUUUUUUUUCUUACACUUUUUAUUAUUUUAUAUUAUUGGAAAGUUCAUUUUUAUUAUUUUAUUAUUUUUUUAAAGUCUAUUUUUAAAAUUAACAAAAUUAUAAAAAUUUUAACUACAUAUUUUAUCAUUUAUUUUUAUUUACUUUAACAAAAUUUAUUCUAACAAAUAUAAAUAUUUUAAUAUGCAUAAAUAUUAUAAAAAUAAUAUAUAUAAAAAAUUAAAAAAAAAAUUACCUGAAUUGGACCUAUUAACGGUUUGGUCAACGCAGGUCCAAUCGGUUUGGCGGUUCAAUCCAGUUUGAUUGGUUUAGUGGUUCGGCUUCGAUUCAACGGUUUGGGGUCGAUUUGGUUCGGUUUGUGCCUAUUCAACUAGACCAAUCGUAGGCUAAAGGAGAAACAGGUUGUCGGAUCGAGUGCACGGACCCUAAGUCGGGUCAUAGGUUGAUGUGCGGAUCCUUGGGUCUCAAAACGACGUUGUUUUGAUGCUUAUUGAAAUGACGUCGUUUUGGCCCUUGGCAAUUUCUAUAAAAGCUUAAUUUUUUUUUCAUAUUAUUUCUUCCUCUAAAAAAAAAAAUCUCUCUCCCUACUCUUUCUACCUCUUUACCCAGUUGGUCGCUGAUUGCUAUGCCAACCGUUGUUAAUGGUUGUCAACCGCUGCGCCUAUCACCAAAAAAUCUCAAAACUUACCCACAAACUCCUCUCAACCCCUUAAGCACAAAUUCGACCUUUCUUUCUCCAAAAAAGGUCUAAAAUUCCCUAGACCUACCUUCUAACUUUUGGCCAAACCCCUUUCCUUUUUUUUUUAGGUAUUUUGACUUGCUUGCUUUUUUUUUUAAACUAAUUUUGUUUUUUUCUUUUUGUGGGGGCUCUCGGCGCUAGGUUCCCUAUUCCAGGGGACUGUAUUUUUUAUUAUUAUUUUUGUUUGGUAGAAUAUUUUUUUAGCAGGGGUCUAUUUUUUCUCUCUUUUUUGGUCUAGCACGGAGCUCUAUUUAUAGCGCUCCGGCCAUGCCCUGUGCCUGGAUGAGUGGCACAGGGCUUACUAGAGGCAGCUCCCUCUCUACCCCAUUAUUCUUCUGUAUUGUCUAAUCUUGGCCCUGUGCUUGAGCAGGUGGCACAGGGCCUAGCAUGGGCGGGUGGUGCCAGUGGUAUCGUGCACGACACUAGGCACCAACUCCCUCUAUUUUGGUUUUUCCUUCUCUUGUAUUCUUCUGUUUGUUUUUUUUUUCUUUUCAUUUUUUGUGUAUUUUGUUUAAUUUAACAAAAAUAAAAUAAAAGGCAGGUUGGGCCUAAAGAACAAAAUGGGCUUUAGGCCCGUUAGAAAUCAAACUUUAGGCCCUGUUGAAUUAAAAUCGGGCCUGAAACCCAAUUGAAUAGAAAUCAUGUCUUGACCCGAGAGCCCGAGAACUAUUAAAAUCUGAACAAAUUUAGUGUCUACAGUUGCCCCUCUUUGCACAUUACUGAGAGUCAGGAAUAGAGCAAAGACAAAGACAACAAUUUUAUCCAAAAAAUCUUUGUCCUUGUUAUAACUGUUCAUGGAUACGUGCACUAAGUGCUCUAGAUGCAAUGCAUAUGAUGCAAUCAAAAUUGUUUAUUUCCAAUUAUGGAAAAAAGAUUCUUGAAAUUUCUCGCCUUCUUACCUCUUUUUUUUUUUAAAUCUUAGCAAUUGCCAUAUAACCAAUAUGUUCUUAACAUAUGACUGUUGCAUUCUUUCUCAACAAUAUUUUCUUUUCUAAGAAUAUGGAACAUUAAUUUCUUGUCAUGCUUUUCUCAUCUUUUUUCAUUUGUCUUUGUCAACUUUAAAAAAAAAAGUAAUGUUAAGAUCUUUUGUGUUUGUUUUUUUAUCAUUUUAAGUCAAGACAAGCAAAAAUGCAAUCACACAUUUCUUUCAUUCAUUUGUAAGGUGAACAAAGAUAUCAAAUGAGGUAAAAGAAUAGACAAGUGUUAUUUCCAAAGAAAAGCUAGCAUAUUUCAUUAGAUUGAUAAUAUGUGCAUGACAACAAAAGUGUUUGAGUCGAAACAAAGGUGCCCAAGUAAUAAUCACAAGAUAAUCAUGAACAAAAUAUUUUCAGAUUCUUUUUCUAAAACAAAAUCAGAUGACUUUUCUUGCUUCUUCAGAGUUCAUCAAACUACUUUUACCUUCUGUAUUGUAAGUAAAUCCAAGCCAUAUUUUCAAGUUUUCAGCUUAACUGAGUCAUUAUUUUUCAUUAUUUUGAUUUUUUCUAUUAUUUUGAUUUUUUUCAAGCAAAAUAUUUUUUUGCAGCAUCUAAAUUUAUCAAAGUAGGUAAAUCACUCCCGUCUAUUUCUGUCAAAAUUAAUGCCCUAUUAGAAAAUGCCUUUUUCACCAUGUACGACCCCUUCCAAUUUGGUGUUCAUUUUUCUUGAUUGUCAUGUUGAUUUAGAAGGAUCCUUUUCAGCACUAAGUCUCUUUCCCUAAAGCAACGAGGGUGAAUUUUUUUAUUAUGUGCUCUCAUCAUCCUCUUUUGAUAUAAUUAAUCAUGACAAAGUACUGUAAGUUUUUUCUCUUCAAUGAGGUUCAACUGCUCGUAGUGAUUUCGAAUCCAUUAUGCUUUUUUUAACUCUACCUUUAUCAGGGCUUUCAACAAGGGAAUUUUCACUUCGACCGACAGCACAACUUCUAUUCCAUAAACCAAAGAAAAUGGGCUGACCCCAAUAGAUAUUCAGACUGAUGUUCUAUAAGCAUGUAAAGCAAAAGAUAACUUCUCAUGUUAAUUUUUAUAAGUAUCAGUCAUUUUCUCUAAGAUUCUUUUGAUAUUCUUGUUUACAGCCUCCACUGCUUCAUUCAUCUUUGGACGAUAUGAUGUCGAAUUACAAUGAUGGAUUUUGAACUGAAUGCACACUUCAUUCAUCAUUUUGCUAUUCAAGUUUUUGGCAUUAUCAGAAAUAAUCAUCUCUGAAAACCCGUAUCUGCAUAUUAUUUCUUUUUUUAUAAACUUGCAUACUACGGAUCAGGUCAUGCUAGCAUACGAUGCAGCUUCUACCCAUUUCAUCAAAUAAUCGAUCAUUACAAAGAUGAAUCUAUGCCCAUUCGAAGCUUUUGGGGUAAUGGGUCCAAUAACAUCCAUGCCCCUUAUAGAGAAUGGCCAUUGAGGAGCCAAAACGUGUAAUACUGAUAGAAGAGUGUGAAUUUUGUCAGCAUAGAUAUGACAUUUAUGAUACUUUCUAACAUAAUCAAUACAGUCACUUUUCAUUAUCAACCAAUAAUAGCCAGCCCUCAUAAUUUGUCUAGCCAUCAUAUAACUAUUCGUAUGUGCCCCACAACCUUAUUAUGUACUUCUUCAAUAAUCUUCUUUGCUUUCACUGCAUUCACAUACCUCAAAAACACUUAAUCUUGACUCCUUUUAUAGAGGACAUCUCUAUCAAGGAAAAAACUCAUAGCCAACCUUUUGAUAAUUCUUUUAUCAUUUUUUGAUGCAUGUUUUGGGUAUUGUUAGCUUUUGAUGUAUUGCAUAAGGUCAUGAUACCAUGGCUUCCCAUCAAUUUUUUUUCAACACCCAAACAAUGUGCUGGUUCAUUUUUCACAUCCAGCUUGAUAGGUUGGAUCUUGAUAUUUGCAUCUAUUUUAAUAAUUACAGCUAAAGUAGCCAAUGCAUCAGGAAUUUAAUUCUUCUCUCUAGUUAAAUGCUCCAACUGAACUUUUUUAAAUUGUUCGACUAACUCUGAGAUGUAUUUAGGAUACCAGACUAAUUUAGAAUCUCUUGUUUCUUAUUCUUCUCGUAACUGAUAGAUGACCAGAACUGAAUCUCCAAACACAUCUAACACUUUGAUUUUUUUUUCAAUUACUGCUUGCAAACCUAUAACACAGGCUUCGUAUUCAGUCACAUUGUUUGUGUAAUUAAAAUUCAACCUAGCUGUAAUGGGAUAAUAAUGCAUGUCGAGAGAUAUUAAAAUUGCCCCAAUACCAUGGCCUAAAGCAUUUAUGGCUCCAUCAAAAUAUAUUCUCCAAGACUUUUCAACAGGUUUAUUUUUUUCAAUGGCCAUCACAUCUUCAUCAGAAAAAUCUAGGUUCAUUGGUUCAUAAUUUUCGAUAGCACGAUCAACAAGAAACUUAGCUACUACAUUUCUUUUUAUAGCCUUUUGAGUCAUAUAAAUAAUAUCAUAUUCUGAAAGCAUAACUUGCCACCGUGCUAUUCUUUCCAUCAAUGAGGGCUUCUCGAAGAUAUACUAAUAGGAUCCAACUUUGUUAUAAGCCAAAUGGUAUGAUAAAGCAUGUACUGUCAGAACCUUCGAGCUAUCCAAGCCAAUGCACAACACAUCUUCUUUAAUGGUAAAUACUUGGACUCCUAAUCAGCGAAUUUCUUGCUCAAAUAGUAAAUUACUUAUUCUUUCCUGUUAGUUUUAUCUCUUUGCCCCAACACAAUCUCAUUGAAUUUUCAUGUACCAUUAAGUACACAAUCAAGGGCUUUCCAGGAACUGAUGGCACCAACACAGGUAGAUUUGAUAAAUAUUCUUUGAUUUUGUCAAAAAUUUCUUGACAUUCAUCAUUUCACUCUCCUGGAUCAUGUUUUUUAAGAAACUUAAAAAUGAGAUCGCACUUAUAUGUGAGUUGAGAGAUGAAACGAGCAAUAUAAUUUAAUCUUCUUAUAAAGCCUCGUACCACUUUCGGGGUACGAGGAGGGGAUAAGUUUUGGAUGGCUUGUAUCUUAUCUGGAUCGACUUCGAUUCCUCUUUCACUGACCACAAAGCUCAAUACUUUUCUUGAUUUAGCACCAAAUGUACAUUUAGUAGGAUUCAAUUUUAACUGAAAUCUUCUCAACCUAUCAAACAGCUUUUUGAGAUUGACUACAUGAUCCUCUUUUUCAUGAGAUUUUACAAUCAUAUCAUCCACAUAAAUUUCUAUCUCUUUAUGCAUCAUGUCAUGAAAGAUAGUCACUAUUACUUUUUGAUAAGUAGCACCAACAUUUUUUAACCUACAAAACAUGACUUUGUAACAGAACAUCCCUUCAUAUAGUCACAAAUGUGGUUUUCUUCAUAUCAUCUUAGGCCAUCUUGAUCUAAUUGUAGCCUGAAAAGCCAUCCAUAAAGGAAAAUAUCAAAUGCCUAGCAGUAUUAUUCACUAGAGUAUCAAUGUGAGAUAGAAAAAAAUUAUCUUUAAGACUCAUCCUAUUCAGAUCUCGAUAAUCAAUAUACAUUAUCACUUUUUCAUCUUUUUUAAAAACUAGCACUAUGUUAGCUACCCAUUUAGGAUAUUUUGCUGCCUCCAAAAAUCUUGCAUCAAAUUACUUUUUCAUUUUUUUUUUUACUUUUUAGUAGCAUCUCUGGUGUCAUGCACCUUACCUUUUGCUGCACUGGCUUGCAUUCUAGUUUCAAACGUAGCUUGUGCUCUAUAAUAUCAGUGCUAAGUCCUGACAUAUCCUGGUAAGACCAUAGAACAUAUUCACAUAUUCUCGAAGUAGUUCUUCUAGUUUUUACCUUUCAGCUAGUAAAAGGGAUGUUUCAACUUUGACUUCUCUUUUGUUUUCAUUAUCCCCCAAAUUCACUAACUCAAUAAUUUUCUGAUGGGGUUCAAUUGAUUAUCUUCUUAUUCUAUUAAUUUUAACAAAUCAGAAGGUAAUGUGUAAUUAUCUUAAUCUUUUUCAUUAUCAAGUUUGUCAACAUGAAUUAAGUUUUUAAAAUUAAAUCCUAGAUUGUUGCCAUGAUUAUCUUUGUGUUCAUUAUUUGAGACCCUAUAAAGGGUAAGAUGAAUAGACUAUUGGCACACAAAAAUGAAAUGACAAGAAAAUAAUGAAAAGAAAAAAUAGAAAGCAAAAUGAAGAUGAAAACAAUAGAAAAAAUACGGAUGUAUCUUCUAAGUCUUUUAUUAAAAUGACAAACAUAAUGACACCACAAAAGAUCACCUAAUGCUUAUGAAAAGUAAUUAAGGAUUAAAAGUUCUACAACACAUUACUUUUUAGAAGUUUUAAAGAUAACAAGCAGCUCUAUGACUCUCCAGUUAUUUAGCUCAAAAUUUGAAUGACAAGGGUGUAUGAAUAGCUUUUCAUCUCGUAUCUUCUUUUUUUCGUCAUUCAUCAUUUGAAUGGCCAGCUUGGAAAACUCUUCCACGAAUCCUACACUUAAGGCUCCAGACAAAUUUGGGUAAAUAUAUCCUCCUAAAUGAAAAAAAUCAUAGAGGUAUGGAAUGACCAUAGGCUCUAACUCACGCUCAUAUUCUUCAAAAUUAGCCAUUCUCUUAUCUUUUUUCUCAUUCACCAUCUUUAUUUUAUCCCCUUUUAUUGACUUAUAUCCUAAGCCAAAUCUAUCUUUCUUGUCAUAUACUGCUGGUGGCUCUAUGAUUCCUUGUAGGUUCUUUUUUAGUCCAGUUUUAGGUUACCAUCCCAUUUCAGUGAGCUACUUAACGAUCAUUUUAGUAGUUAUAGUAGGUGUGGUGAAUAUAAUUUAGAUCAUUCAGUCAUAUAAGUUACGUUAGCAAUCUCGAAAGAUCUAUAAGAGCACUUUAAGGCUUCAUUUGCUGCUUUCACAUAAGAAGUAUUUACUAAUUGAGUUACAAGUAAAUUUUUUCUCCUACCACACAUGUCAAUUUUUUAUCAAUAAUGAAUUAACUUUCUGAUAUAAUGAGGAUGGAACAAUACCUGCCAUAUGAAUCCACAGCCUACCCAACAAGCAACUAUAUGAGGGAGAGAUAUCCAUAACUUAAAAUUUUACGUUGAAAGUACAUGAGCCAAUCUGUAAUGGUAUUUCUAUAUCUCUCAGCACCUUUUUGUGGGUCUCAUCAAUGGCUUGAACUAUCAUAUGGCUAGAUUUUAUGUAAGAUUCAUCUACAAGUAGUUUUACCAAAGUAAUCAUAGGUAUAACAUUGAUAGAUGAGCCAUUAUCGAUCAAAAUCUUAGCCAUUAUAUGACUUUUGUAUUUUACAGUAAUGUGGAGAGCCUUCGUACUUCCUCAACCUUUAGGAGAAAUCUCUUCAUCACUGAAAAAAAUAUAAUUUGAAAUUGUCAGAUUGUCAAUAAGCUGUUCUAUGUACUUAACAGAUACAUUAUGAGACAUAUAUGCUUGAUUGAGCACUUUUAAUAAAGUAUUACGGUGUGACUCUGAGCUUAGCAAUGAUGACAAUAGUAAAAUUCUAGCUGGCAUUUUAUUCAACUGUUCUACCACACUAUACUCAUUACGUUUUAUUAGCUUUAAAAUUUCAUAAGCUUCACUUUCAGAGAUUGACUUUUGACAUUUUUUAUCUAGGAUUGUGACAAGAUUAUUAUGAUUUCUUUUUUCUUCUUUCACCAUUGCUUCCUUUUUUUUGGCUUUCUCUAAAGCUUUGGGAGUACAACACCUUUCACUUCGAGUUAUACCUCUUAUGCCCGUUAUGUUUGCAGUAUCUGAAUUAACUAUAACAUCACAAUCAUACUUCUAUGGUACUGCUUUAUCAUUAUAGUAUGAAAAAAGGUCAAGAACUUUAAUUGUCACACUGGUUGAGAAUGAGCUCUUCUAGCCUCAGUGUUGAUUUCUCAUCAUAAUAAAUUGUUACUGGUCUACGUAUAAAUUUAUUUUUUGAAUCAAUGGUAGACACUUCAGCUUUCACCAACUUUUUUUUUUCUUUAUAAAACUCUAUUUGACCCAUAUCCAUCAACUUCUGUACCUUUUGACGAAAUUGGUCAAACUUUCGAUAGAAUGCCCCAAAGCACCAUUGUGAUAGUCACAUCUCUCAAUUGAAUUAACCUUUGCAGAGUAAUUUUGAGGCUCUAUUGAUCUUAACAUGUCAGCUUUAACUAAGAUUUCAAACACCUUAGCCAUCAGAGUUUCAUCCUCUUCUAUUUUUCUUUUCACAUAGCUUGCUUACCCAUUAAUCAAAGCUUUUAUUAAUGAUUUAGUGUGGUUCGAUGGAGGGUUCCCAUUAACAUUUGGAGUUCUUCGUUGGCUAGUUUCAAAAUUUAAUACCCCUUCAUUGAUUAACUAUUGCAUUUUACGCUUCAAAGUAGUACAGUUCUUAGCGAAAUGACCUGGGUUCCUAUAAUGAUAAUCACAAUGCGCAUUGGGGUCAUACCAUUUAAGAAAUGAAUGUUUCAAGGGUUCAACAAUAACAGGAGUAAGUAAAUAUUUUUCAACAAGUUGAGGAUACAAAUCUGUUUAUGUCAUGAGAAUGGGGGUUAAAAGUGAAUUUUUCUUAGGUAUUUUUUGGGGGUUUCGGACCAUUAUUUAGACUAGUCUCCAUUCUAGUUUUGUAGGUGCAGCAUGAUGAUUAUAGGAAUAGGUGGGUGUUUGAAAAGAUAGCUGAAAUUGAGAUGGAUAAGCUAGUUGUGGUAAUGGCUGGUAUGGCUUAUAUGGAUGAGAAACAAAUGUAAUAUUAUUUAUGAGAGGGUAGUGGGUUUGGUACACUGGAAUGGGUAUGAAGUGAAACUUUUAAACUAUUACCCCACGUAAUUCAUUGUUUGGGUUUCAUUUGCUUUCUUUUUCAAUGCUACACCCUCUCUUUGCACCACUUGUCUCGCUUACAUUAAGCUUGUCAUUCUUUAUAACAUUUUCGAUAAUCUCAUAUGAUAUCACCAUAUCUGUAAAGUUUUUGAUUACAUUGCCUAUCAAUCUCUUAUAGUACGAUACUUUUUAGAGUGUUCACAUAUAAGACAGUUAUCUUUUUUCUCAAUGAGAGGAGGUUGGACUUGUGCAACCACAUUUCUCCAUCUCUGUGUAUAUUCUUUAAAGCUCUCAGUUACUUUUUUUUCAUACUCUAUAGAGAUAGAUGAUUUGGAGUAAGAUCUAUGACAUACUGAUAUUAUGUAAGGAAUGCCCUUGGAGCUUUUGUCAGGAAUGAAUAUGAGUCUUGUCUAGUUAAACAUACCAUCUGACUACAGAUCCCGUAAGGUUAUCUUGAAAUACAUGCAUUAACAACUUCUCGUUACGAGCAUACGCUGUCAUCUUACAAUAAUACAUGACGAUAUGAGUAAUUGGACAUUUUAUACAUUAUAUUUUUCAAAUUUAAAGACCUUAAUUUAGGCGUAAUGAUCACAUCUAAGACCAAACAAAGCUCAAUUGCAUCUGUGAAGCCAUAAAAAUUCAUUCCCUAUACGACCAUAAGCCUUUCUUCCAAUAACUUCAUAUUCUCUUAGGCACUGAUAUCUUUCACUUUCUCAAGUAUCUUUAUCCCUAGUUUUUCUCUCUUUAGAAUCAUCCAAGUCAGGAACCAAGAUUGGCUCAUGUGGUUUUUCCAUCAUAACAAGAUUAAAAAAAAUUUAGAACUAUCUUGGGGUAGGUGUUGAUGUCAUUCCUGGAUAAGGAUUGGAAUAUCCUCGGGGAGUAAGAAUUUGAAUUCUAAUUCCUUGAGAAAGUUGGGUUAGCCGUGGUUCAAACCCUAAAGGGUAUAUAGGAUUCGCCAUGUCUAACGAUUGCUCUUGGAUGCUAGGAUUUCCUUCCACUGCUUUUCUUUUAUCCAGAUUCUUGAGCAUAUCCAUUAUUCUAUUAAGAUCCUCUUUUAGUUCUUCUUAAGCUUUUUCAAUCUUUUUAAUUUGAUUGGCCUAUUCUUAUUUCAUGAUUAUUGUUUGAGCUCUCGUGUUGUAUGAAUGGCAAGUAGGUUGAGUCAAAAUUUUUUAUGGACGAGCUAUUCUUGAACCUUUAUUACAACAAAAGUUUAAAAAAAUCAAAAUGCCAUGUGUUGAAAAUUUUAUAUUUUUGAAAAAAAAUAAAAAUGGUGUACAUGAUGCAUGAAUACAAGUGGAAGAUAUUUGUUCUUGGAUAAAUUUCAACACUAGAAAUUUUCAUUAAUUUCAUACAACUUUGUUACAUGAGAUUUAUCAUCCUAGAAUUAUAUCCAUAAAAGCAUUUAACUUGCUUAUAAUGAUCCUUGACUUCAUCUAGAAAAUAUACUAGAUGUUGUCUAUAUUCUUCUAUAGGAUUGACUUUUCUUCUUAAUGUUUUUACCUUUUCAAUCAUCUUUCAUGCUUUUCUUACUACCUUGUAAACUUGAUCGGUUAUGUGCUCUAUGUACUGUUACCUCUUUAAAUUUUUUAUUUUUCAACUCAUUCGGGCAUCUCUUUCUGAAUCACAUGCGAAGAUCCAUUAUUUUUUCCUUCUAUGCCACUCAUCUAUUAUUGCCAAAAUAUGGUGCUUAUGGUCUUGCAAACAAAGCUCCAACCAUUGGAUCACUUGGCAAAGUGAUUUUUUUUCAUUUAGUACUUCAAAGUACUUUCUUCUCUCUUUUGCAAGCAUGGCUUUCAACCUUUUUUUUUUUUUUUUGCAUUCCACCAAUCUUGCUGAAGCUGUAGAGUAUAACCCCUUUCAAUUCUAGUAUUCUUGAAAAAUUCUGGUGACCUCCUCUUACUUUUUUUGAGCUUUGCCCUUCCAUUAAUUCAUUUCCUCUUGGAGCUCAUUCAUUUCACUUUACCGACUAAGGUAAGACUUGAUGACUUUCUCGAUUUUGAAUUAGACUCGUAACCUCUUAUUUUUUUAGUGUAGAUAUUUCAAAUCACUAUUGGCCACAUCCCAUUGUUUUAUGACUUUUUCUAAUCUGCUCUAUUGUAUCUCUGCUUCAUAUUUCAAUUAUCCUACCUUUUCAUGAAGUCUCAAAUUUUCUUUUAUUAUUUUUUUUCAGCUUCUAAUUCUUUCUUGACAAGCUCAACUUCUGAUAAUUGUACCUCUUCCAAAAGAUUAACUGAUUGAUUUGAGCUAUCAUCAGGAGGGAGUAUUAUGUCUCUAAGCCACUUUGUUUUCCAAAUUUAAUAAUCAAUGGUGAUUUUGUCGAUGAGAGGCCCUAACCUCAUUCUUCGUGUUUUCUUUCAUGCUUAGAUCAACUGCUCUAAGGUUCUUGAUGGAUUCGGUUCCCCAUAAAUAAAUUUUACUUGGAUCAGGGCAUGAGUGAUAGGAACAAACUAUUUUGCACCAAAUUACCUAAGUACCAUUAACAGAGCAUAACUUACAACACCCUAUAGCCCUAAUAGCGGUAUCCAUGGCUCGUUUCUUCCAUGAUACAACAAGUUCACCCAAGGCAUCCAAAGCGCCAUUCAUUCAAUUUCAUCUUCAGUAAGCCUUCAUAAGAAUAAAAUCCACUAUUUCUUGGUCUUCAAUGUCGGCUAUUGACUUCUGCAGAACUCUUCAAUUGGUGCCUUAUUUUGAAGAUACGACUUUAAAAAAGCAUUCUUUUCACACUUGAAAUAACUUCUGACCCACACAUACAAUAAUGGCGCACAUCCUAUGAAUCUUACCUUUCCACUUCAUCGAUAGAAAUUCAAUGAUCAGAUGGUUUCUACUAAGACUACUAGCGUGAGAUUAAUUACUUUGGUUUCAAUUUGCUCAAAAAAAUCUACCAUAGUUAUCUUAAUGUAACCCAAGGUCUUCGAAAAGAUUACCAUGCCAUACAAUGCUAGAGCAAACACAGUCAUACCUUGAUCAUCAUUUAAAUGCCCUUGAAUGAAGUUUCAAAAAAAGUCCUAACGGAUGUCGAGAUGUUCACCUUUAGGCUUCGUGAAAGAAUCAAUGGUUUCUACUUUAACCUCCAUAAGCUUGGCUAACCUUUUACGAUAACCUGAUUUUGGCUUUUGGGUAAACACUUUAUUUGGACAUUGUAGUUCUAUCCCAAGUAAAACAGAGUACUUUUCAAUAGUUGACAUCAAAUCUUCUUGAUUAAAAGUGAAAUGUCUAUAGGACAGAUCCCAAAACUGUAUAGUUGUCAUAAUCAACUGUUUAUCCAUCAUUACCAAAAUAAGGAAUACGAUCUACUUGUACUUCUUACAAAAGGUUUUUUUCUCUCUUCAUUUAACUGACCCCAGAUGAUGGUUGAGUCUUCUAAAUUAUUCUGUGUGAGAUCCAAAUGUACCUUAUCGGGUAAUGUAGACACAUAAUUGGUAGGCAAGCAAUCUCCAUUCUUUUGUUGGACUUCUUUCAACCAAACAUAUACUUUAUUAUAUGGCUCACAUAGGACACUAAUUAAGAAUGAGCAAAUCUGUAGUUCUACGAGAUCCAUGAAGACUUAUCGAGAGAAAUAUGUCCUAGAGUAAAUACCUUGAUAUAGAAUUGUAUGAUAUGAUUAAUGAAAAAAAAACAAAACAAAAUUGAGUUAGUGUGAGAAUGUGGUUUAAGAGAAAAUAUUUUUUUGUGUUUCGAGGUUUUUUGUUUUGUUUUGUUUUGUUUUGCAUUACCCAUAACUUUUGGACUUAGGUAUUUUCUACAAAUAGGGUGGAUAAGGCUCUACCUAAGGUUAGCUUUUUAGGCUUAUUACAUGCUGAGUUUUAGUUAACAUGCAUCUAAAGGUUCUCAAAUUAUUCUUUACUGUCGUCCACACUAGACUAGUAAGGCACCCCUAUCCUCACCCAUCACAGGUUACAAACGAAAAUGAUUCAAUUUGAGUAGAAUUAUUUUGCUUGCCAUUGCGGAGGUUAUCGCCUCACAAGGGCAUAGUAGGUACUUUACUUCCUCCUAUGGGGGACAGAGCUCGGGUAUAGAGCUUAUGUAUGAGAUGCAUCGUUCAUUGUGUGUGCACAUAUUUUCUAAUUUAUUGAGAAUAAUAGAUACGAAAAAAUAAUAAAAGAAAUGUGUAUGAAAAUUUUUUCUUUUCGUUUUUUGGUUUGUUUUUGGUUUGUUUGGCAUCUUUUUUUUUUUAAUUGAAAGUAAAAAGAAUUUAAAAACUAGAAACCGACUAAGAUUGUUUAAAUCAAAAUUUAAGGAUAACACGUAGUUAAUUUUGACCUGACUCUAAAAAACAAAUGACAUCCCCAGCGGAGUCGCCAUUAGCUGUCGUAACGGUUUUGGAGCCACCAGAUGAAUUUGGAAACGAAAAUAAAAAAAAAGAGUUACCACCAAUCUUUUUUAGCUAAGUACGAUUGGUCACCUAUUAAAAUCUAUCUUUUUAAUAAAAUUUUAAAAUUAAUUAAAAUUUAUUAAAAAAAAUUUUGGGAUCUGCGAAAUAGUCUGAGUUCGAGAGUCGGUUACGUGUGGGGAAGGAUUAACACCCCAUAACGCCUGUUUAAAAAUGGUACCAAUUGACUACGCGUUAUUCUUUGAUUUUGAUAAAAAAUAGUCUCAUUUUCGGUGUUUUAAAAAAAUUUCUUGAAUUUUUCAUUUAUUGGAAAUCAUUUUUUUAUUAUUAAUUUAGUACUUAAAUUUUAUUCGAGAAAAAUAAAUUAGAACUUUUUUAUUGAAAUAAUUUUUAAAAUGUUUCAGUACGUUGAUAACAUUAGAAGAACUCUUUCUCACUUAGAGAUUUUUUAAGCAUUGCUUCUUGGAAUACUUUAGAAUCUCAUCAUCGGAGGCUCAAAUUUAUUUUUCACAAAAAAACUAUGCCAUGCAUGCAAUGCAAGUGAUAAUAUGUUAAUGUACACAUUUUACUUUUCGUUUAGAAAUUUUAUUAAUUUUUAUUAAUAUUUUCAUUUUAAAAAUUGAAGAAAAGAGAAAUUUUUAUUAUAUUUAAGAUUUUCUAUAAAUAUUCCAAUACACGAGUAAUAUUUAAAAAAUAUAUUCUACUUAGAGAUUUUUUAAAGUAUCUAUACUUGGAAUACUUUUAGAAUUCCAUUAUCGGAUAAAUUUUUUUCUCAUUUUUUAUUACUUAUUCUUAAUUUAUUAGUUUUUUUUUAAUUUUAUAACAAAAAAAAGAAAUUUUUUUUUGUAUUGAAAACUUUUUAUAAAUACUCUAAUAUACUGGUAGUAUUUAAAAAAUUUUCUUACCUAGAGAUUUCGUAGGUAUCACUACUCGGAGUACCUACGAAUCUUAUCAUCAGAUAAAAAUUUUCUUUUCUUACAUUUUUAUUUAAUUUAUACUAUUAGAAAGUUUUUUUUUUUAUUAUUAUUAUUAUUUUCAAAGUUUAUAUUAAAAUUAACAAAAUUAUAAAAAUUUUAACUACAUAAAAAUUUAUUCUAACAAAUUUAAAUAUUUUAAUAUGCAUAAAUAUUAUAAAAACAAUAUAUAUAAUAUAAAAAAAUUAAAAAAUUUUUUUUUUUACAUGAACCGAACCAGUCAACGGUUCGAUCAAUGCUGGUCUGGUUCGGUUUGGGUGGUUCGAUGGUUCAGAGCCGGUCUGGUUUGGUCCGAGUCGGUUCAACUAGACUAGUCUGGGUCUGGGACAGAGGUAGGUAACGGGUCAGGUGCGUCGAUCCUGGGUUGGGUUAGGCUGAUGUGUGAAUCCCUUUAUGGUCAAAACAACGUCAUUUUAGCCCUUUAAUGAAACGACGUCGUUUUAGGCUAUCAGCUUUCUAUAAAACCCCAAAAUUUUUUCUUUCUCUCAUUUUUUCUCUUCUCCCUCUCUCUCUAACUCCUCCCUUUCUCAGACCGUCUAACUCUACCCGAUCAGUCACCGUCGAUUGUCUUUGAUGAUCGAUCGUCGGUUGUCGGUCGCCGUAGUCAACUAUCGAAAAAUCCCAAAAAGUCUCAAAACAAUCCUCUCGACUUCCUAAACCUAAAUCUGGCCCACUUUAACCAAAAAAGGUCUCAAAUCCCCUAGAUCUACCUUCUAACAUUUUGUUGAACUUUUUUUUUUGUAUUUUGACUUUUUCUUUUAAUUAACUUUGCUUCUUUUUUUGCAAGAGCUCUCAGCGCUGGGUUUUCCAUUCCCAAGGACUGAGUUUGUUAUUUUUUUUUUUUGUGUUUUUUUUAUAAAAUGCUUUUCUCUCUCUUUUUUUUAUAGGGUUUCCUCUUUCUUCCCUUUUUUGGUCUGGCACGGAGCUCUAUUUAUAAAACUCCGAUCAUGCUUUGUGCAUGGGUGAGUGGCAUAAGGCUUAGCAGAGGGGGAUGCCGCAGCAUCAACCCCUUUUCUGCCUCAUUAUUCUUCUGUAUUGUCUAGUCUUGGCCAUGUGCCUAAGCAGGUGACACAAGGCCUAGCAUGGGCGGGUGGUGCCAGUGAUGCCGUGCACGGCGCCAGGCACUAGCUUCCUCUCCUUUGUUUUUUCCUUCUCUUGUAUUUUUUUUGUUUGUUUUUUUUUCUUUUCAUUUUUCUUCCUUUUUUCUUUUUUUUGUGUAUUUUGUUUAAUUUAACAAAAAUAAAAUAAAGAAAAUAAAAUAAAAUUCAGGUUAGGCCUAAAGAACAAAAUAGGCUUCGGGCUCGAUCGAAAUCAGACUUUAAGUCCGGUUAAAUUAAAAUUGAGCUUGAAAUCUAAUUGAAUUAAAAUCAAAUAUUAACUCUUGAACCCGAAAACUGUUAAUUAAAAUUCGAAUAAAUUUAAUGUCUACAUAUUAUAUCAACUCAAACUCUAUUAUUCAGUACUUUGUUUCCAUUGUUACUUAUGGAGUGAGUCGGUCAAUAGAAAUUUGGAGUUGUCCAAUAAAGCUUAAAGACGAAGCAAUUUUUUUUUGUCUUUGUGCUUUAAUGCUAUACCUUAAAUGGUUGGUUUAUAUCCAAUUUUAGGUAUAUAGAUUUUUAGAUUUAAAAAUAUAUAAAAAAAAAUUGAUAUUAAAGGGAAACAGGUAAUUUUUCAGGGUUAUUAAGUUUAAAAAAUAUAAAAUUUUAGUGUUUAGCUAAAAAUUAUUUAAUAAAAUAUUUUUACUAUAUUAUUUUUGAUAAUAUAUGAGUAAAAAUAUAAAAUAACUUAUUUAUUUAAUUUUUUAUAGGAUUUUUAAUUAUAAACUAUUUAUAAAUUUAAUUAAAUAUUUCAAAUAUUUUUAAUUUAUUUAUUUAAAAAAAUAAAAUGACAAUGGUUUCCUCUUAAUAAACACCUUCUCAUUUAUUACAAAAUUUAUAAAUAAAAAUAUAAAAAUAAAUUUCCAAUAUACUUUUAAUAAAACUAUAUAGUAAAACUUGUAGUUGUUGAAAAUUACUAAAAAAAAUUGAUAAAAGAAUGUUAUAUUAUGGAAUAUAAAUUCACCUUUUUUUUAACAAAAAAUCUAAAAAAAAAUGUGAAUCAUUCCAAAAGAUAGUUUAUUGAAUGUAAGAUAUCAAAUGAUUUUGAGUUUUAUACUUUCAAGUUUUAUAUUUUCAAAAGGAAAGGGAUUUAUUAACAUUAAUGUCAGAUAAUGAUCAUAAAUAUUAACAAUCGAACAUUUUUAUAAAUGACAUUCCGAAAUAAGAAAACGUAGUAAAGAUUAAAAUAUAAUUUUUUUUUGGCAAUAAAACAUCGUUUUUUUCCCAAUUUUUUUUUUAUUUGUUAGAAGUGUAUAAAUUUUUUAUUCUUAAAAUUUUUUCGUAAUACAUUUUCAAUAAAAACUGUAUUUUUAAUUUUAAAAACGAUAUCUUUGUUAAAGCUAUAAAAUUCUUAAAAUUUUUUAGUUUAAUAUAUUUAAAACAGAGAUUGUGUUUUUAAAAUAAAAAAAAUGUGGUUUUAAAAUAUAUUAAAAAAUUUAAUUUCAUAAUAUCUUAUAAAAAAUUAUCUCUUUUCUAAAAUAAAUAAUAUUGUAUAUAAUCCAAAAAUGUAAUUAAAUGAAGGUAAAUAAAAAAAAAUUCGGAUGAGAUUAAAAUUUGAGAGCAAAAGGUUAAGAAUUGAUAUUUCUUAUUACAACUUGUUUUCAAUUUGAAAAUGUAGAAGAGAGACUAAAGCAAGAUAAAACUAUAAAAAAGUUUAAUUAGCUAUAUUAUAAAAGCCAUUAGUACUUUUAUCAAGUCUUCCUCCUCUUAUUCCACCUCCAGCAGCCCUAGCUUUACCAUUUCCACCACCUCAUGCUCCUCUUCUCCACCAGCAGCCACAAUACUUCCACUUCCACCAUUAUUACCACCAAGCCCCCUCCAACUGCUCCACCUCCACCACUACCUCUUGCUCCACCAAGAAUACCAUCACUUUUUAAUCAGCUUCCUUCUCCACCUCCUAGGCCUCCACCACCACCACCACCCAAAUCUCCAGCAGUACCAAGGCCACCUAAACCACCACCAACACCUCUACAAUUUUGUAAAGCAUGAUGGGCAAGUAGUCCAAGUUUAAGUAUUAAAGACCUCCAGUCUCCUUAUUGUCCUUGAGGAAAAAUGAACGAUGAUGCAAACUCUUGUCAUCUCCAUUAACAUCAUGAUCAGCAACUGGAAAACCAUCCACGAGAAUAACACACAAGAAAGCAACCACACAAAAAAAAAAAAAGAGCAAAAACAAGCAUCACCAUCUAAAAGUUUAAGCAAAAGCUUACUCAGAAUAGUCGAAUUGUAAUGUCAAACAAAAUGGAAUUACAUUUUUUUCCUAAAAAACUAUGAAUUUUUUUCAAUCUUUUUGAAUUUUUUCUUUCUUUUCUUCUUUGUUUUCGUUUUUAUUUGCUGGUUAGCUUGUCAAAAAAUAAAAAAUGAGUUUAUAUUUAAUAGAAUAUCAAUGUAUAAAUUUUACAUUAUCAGUGAAACAGAUAAAAUCACCUUAUUAAAAAUAAAUAUUAUUUUUUAAAAUAAAUAUGUAAAAAUAAUAUUUUUUUAAAAAAUUUAUUCGUUAACCAAAUAAUAUCAUUUAAUUUCACCGAUAAUAUAUUAAAUUUAUAUAUUAAUAAUAUAUCGAAUAUAAACUCGUAUGAAAUUUAUUAAUAAAAAAGAUUGAAUUUAAAUAAAAAUCAAAUUAAAAGGCUAAACUUAAAGCGAGGGAGUAAAAAUCGGCGUACCAUUCACUAAAAAUCAUUACAUCAUUUACUCAAAAAAAAAAAAAACUAUAUCGUAAACCAUUCUAACUUGUUAACCGAAUUUGUUCCCCCUUUCUUCAAAACAAUCAAACAAUUACAUUAUUUUUCAGUAUUCCCAAUCUUGAUUCUGUCAUGAAAAUGAUUAAAAAAACGUGGAUUUUGCAUGUUAAAUAGAGCACGCAUGGUUUAACCGGUUCAACCAAGCUAAGGCAAUAUCAACAAUGGCAACAUCAAUCUCAAAAAAAUCUUCAUCCAACGCUGCCCGACCACCUCAGGCAGUAAAAUUUGCCCGAAGGACAUCAAGCGGUAGAGUUAUGAGCUUAUCCAGGGACGAUAACAUAGACAUCUCUGGUGACCUAUCAAACCAAAAUGACUAUAUCAAUUACACAGUUCUUAUGCCACCAACACCUGAUAACAAACCAGGCUCAGAGCCCUCUUCAGACUCUAAACCUGAGGGGCAACAAGGCACAUAUGGGACAUCUCGGUUCACCUCAGACUCGCAACGUAUGAGAAGUCGGGGAGGGGAAGAGGAAGGUGGUAUGAAUGAGCCUGGAAUGGGUGCGAAAGUAGAUAGAAGGAUUUCAGUAACGACGUCAGCAAAUAACAAGUACAUGUUGUUAAGGAGCCAGACGGGGGGUUUUGAUCAUAAUCGUUGGCUGUUUAAGUCAAAAGCAAUAUACGUUUAUCAUAAAUAUUAUAUGUGACACAAUAUAAUUAAUAUAGUUAAAAUUAAUUAAUAUUCAACUAACAUGAUACGAUAUAAAAAGAUUAAUAUGAUUAUAUAUGAAUAAUACGAUUAAAUACGAUUAAUUAUUCAAAUAAUAUCACGUGACAUGACACAAUACAAUUAAAACGAUUAUAUAUAAAUAAUAUAAUCAAACACAAUCAAUCUAUUUAUUUAAACAAAAAAAUCAUUUAAAUAGUAUUUAAAUAAAAAAAUUCAAAAAUUAAAUAUUUCUAAUUUAUUUAAACACUAAAAUGAUAUGAUAAAUAUAAUUAUUAAUUUAUUUUUUAAAUAAGUUAAAAAUUAUAAAUAAUAUUGUAUCUGUAUCAUUAUUGUCUAACAUAAAUACAAUAUGAAUAAUAUCAUAUUUUAAUCAUAUUGACAUGAUUAAAAUAUGAAAUACAAUUAUAUUAAAUUUAUAUACGAUUUUUUUCAUAUUAAUUUUAUAUUAUAUUAUUAUAUCGUAUUUAAAAUACAAAGACCUCGUGAAAUUCUAGAUUAAAUGAAUUUUGAAGUCCCAUCCCCUGCACUGACAAAUCUGACAUCAAAUUUUAAGAGAUCAAAUAAUAUUAUACUUGGUCUUAUAUUUUAUUAGAUAUAUCUUAUUAUAUUUAUAUUCAUGAAAAAUAUAUAUUUAUGGAUGAAAGUAAUAUACAAAUAAAAUAAAUUUACAAAAUAAUAAAUUUUAUUGAUUUAUAAAUAUUAUGAAAAAAACAAAUAAAUAAAUAAAUAAUUUUAUUUAAAUUAUGAUUGAUGUUUUUUUAUAUAAAUAAAUUGUUAAACAAUAUUUUUUUUUUGAAAACAAGAAAAAUAAAAUACAUCUUUAAAUAAUUUUCUUUAAGAUAUUUUCUAACAGUUUACUAAACGGUCCUAAAUCUUUGCAAGCAAGAGAAGAUCUAAAGUAGAAUUUAAAGUAAAAAAUUAUAGCAUUAAUGAUUAAUAGUUUGUAUAUAUACAAAAUAAAAGAGAUAUUAAGCUAGCUUAUCUCAUCUAAUGUUUUUUGCUUUUAAACUAGUUUUAUCUUAAAUUUAAACAACCUAAAGAAAAAGGAAAAAACCAUUUGGAAAGACAAAAAAAAAUUUUUCAUUUUGAUUUUUUUAUUUUAGUUUCUACUUUCUCACUACCUUCUCAUAAAAAUAAAAAACCUAGCUACCACCAUACAGUUACCGGCCAUCGUACUCCACCAUUCUGUUCGUUGUCUUCCGCCACUUGCCGACGCCCAUUCAUCACCAAAUUUCAUUUUCAAACUCCUUUCAAUCUAUUCUUUCCCUUCCUCGUGUUGGAUUCUUACAAAAAGAGUUAGAUUAGUCUAGUUCUAAUCCGAAACCCAAUUGCUCCUCCCCUCAAAAACUCUAUUUCGCCUCUACCAACACUAGAAUCAAACCUAGAAAUCCUUUCCUCCAUCAAUUUCCCUCUGUUUCAAUCGUUAAAACAUCAAAAAACACCUAAGAAAAUCCUUACUUUUGCAAAAAUUGAGUGAAAAUAAAUAACAAACAACAUUUUCAGAUUUGUUUUAUCUUGAAAAUUUGUCUACUGAGGUGAUUUCUACAAGAGAAAGAGUAAUCCCUUGCCAUGUACAAACAAGGUGUUCAUUAAGCGGUUGAAAACAUGAAAUCGAAAAAAAUUCAUGGUUGCUCUUAGAACACUAUCCUAAUAAAAAAAACAAGAUAAACAAAGAAUAAGAUAAGUAUAUCUACAAUCACAUGUUUUAAGUUAUCAGAUAUGAUAUAUUUUAUUUUGAUUUAAGAGAUUGAACAACUUAUUUACCCUAAAUUUUUACAUACAAAAAAAAAUAUUUUAAUGGGAUAAAUUAAAGUGAUGUUGAUGAAAUUAUGAUCAAAGUUCAGUGACUAGGUAACUAACAUAUUUUUCCUAUCCAAAGGCCAAACACAAGGUCAAAAACAGACAACAAGAACAUGCUUAUUGCCGAAAUUGUAGAUGCUACUUGUUAAUUUCUUGUGUUUCUUCUAAGCCAAGGUUCCAAAACAAAAUUUUGGAUCUACGCACAGCAAGCAGACGAUCGUUACUAUUUCAAUUACUCCCGGCUCAUAUCAUAUCUUAACAAAUUCCAUCUUUAUGCCCGCAUCACCACUUGGGCAUGCAGUAGACAGGUAAUGGAUUUUACAGCCGGUCGAUUUGGUGAUCGAACUGAAAAAUUAAUAACCGAAUUAACCGACUCUAUUAAAAAGGUUGAAACCAACCAAACCAUUCUCAAUAACCGAUAUGUUAAUUGGCACAUCUGCCUUAGGGGCAAAAUGUUUCCACAAUAUUAAACUUUACAAAUAUAUUACUUUCAACACAAUCUGCCUGCGGGGCAAAAUAUUUAAACAUUAUUGGAAUGUGCAUGCCAUAACUUUUUCUCCUCAAAUACAAAACAUUAAAUAUUUAAAUCCUGCAAAGGAAUGUUGAACCAAAUAGAAAGGAGAAGAUUAUAUUACCUACCAAUAUUUUUAGGCCUCACCUCAAUUCCUUCAAUAAUGAGGCCACGCUUAGAGUAAUUACAGUUGAUCUCCCGAAGGGAAAACUCCACUGUCCCAUCAUCUCCAUAUUCAUUCAAAAACUCACCCAUUUCAAUCUCCAUCCACCCAUCUCUUCUUUCUUGAGCUUGUUGGGGAACAUUUUGUGGAUAGUCUAGAAACACACUCCUCACUUCCCCUGUUGUGGUUCCUUCCACAUUCACAUGCACACCUACAGUGCUAUCUCUAAACCCAUAGCUUCUCCUAUUAAGCUUAAACACAAGGUAUGCUGCAUAGUUUGUUCUGGGAGAUAAAUUUCGGGUCUCAAUCCUUCCCUUCACUUCCAGCCACCACACUACUCUGAGCUCAGCAACUUCAGAGAACCUGUCAAUAUGUUGGAGACAGAACCACAAUAACUUGAGCUCAUCAACAAUGUUAUUCUGUAAGUUGUAGAUUUACGCAGAUAAGCAUAGUUUUUUUCUUGGCAAUUGAUAUUGUUUUUCCUAGCCAACACAGUCGCUUAAUCUGUUGAUAAAGUACUAAAUCAGGGAUCAAACCCUGACAGCCACAAAUAUAAGAAAAAGGACAUUGUUUUUCCUAAGCAGCAGUAUUGAGUCAUGGCCAAUUAAGAUCUUAAGAUGUGAAUAUCAUUGAACAAAUAAAAACCAAAAAGAAGAAGAGAACAAACCUAGAUUCUGGGAGAGAUGUCCAUGUCCAAUACUGAGGUGUCUCUCCCCAUAUAAUUGACAGUGCUCUUGCCCCUAGCAUAUAGCAUCUUUUCCCAGUCUCUUUCUCCAAUUGAAAGCUCUAUUUACACGCAACCUUAAUUUUUCAGAAAAAUGCACCAAAUGGAGCAAAACAACACAUACUUUAAACCAUAUAGUACAAAUUGUGCAUGUUUAGCUUUGAAGAAAUUGAUCAACUUAGCCAUGAUUCCUUCUGGUCCAGUAUCAAACAUCCCUUAAAAAUGCUAUACAUAAUUAAAAUUGUUCAGAAAAUUAAAUUUAAAACAUCCCUUAAACACAUGUUCUUGUAGCACAAAGUUGGAAAAGUGGAUACAGGGUCAAAUUUGAGCUUACCAUGGUACCAUUUUCAAUGAGAAUGGGAUGAGAGGAGAGAUGAAAAAAAAGAUCCUUCUUUGCCCAUGAAAGCAAUGAUGGAGAUGAGGAUCUUGAAAUGAUUUCCUGAUAAUCACAAGGCAGAAACCUCUCCCACACAUCAUCAGAGUCUGCAACUGGUCUCAAGGCGGGAGAAACCAGGGCCCAUCGACAUGCGUCUCGAGGCGAAGUCAAUGAUAUGAUCAGACACACGCACUCUUUUGGCAACAACUUUGUAAAAUCCAUUGCUCUUCUAAAUUUUGGACCAGACAUGUUUCUCUCUUCUCUUCCUUGCAAACACUUUUUUUUCAUAUUAUUACAGGUCGGUCGUCUGCGGGAGACGACGUGUCUAGGUUUUGGUUCACAAAAUAUUCACUUAAAUCCUUUGUUUUUAAGUUACGUUGACUAGUGGAAUUAAAUAAUUAUUUAAAUUUUUUAUAUUUUAUUAUAAUUAAUUAAGUUAUAAAUUUUUUAUUUUAGAUGAAUUAAACUUAAAUAUUUAUUUUUAUUUCAAUUUGAAUCCUCGAUUAAAUAAAAAUAAAUAUUAAUGGUUAAUCACUUUUUGUUUAAUAAAAAUUUAAUUGAUAAAAAUAAAUAUUUAAAAAUUUAAUUAAUUAUAAUAAAAUAAUAAAAUUUAACAUGGUUGGUUUAGAUUUUGGUUUAUCUUUUCAAUGGUACUUGGUAACGACAAGAUUUAUAAAGUACAAACCCAAAGUAAAAAUAAAAGGAAGAAAUAAACGCAAAAGACUGAUGCGGUAUCUACCUCGUCCAUUAGAUAAUGAUAUGAAGAGGGGACUUCGAGAAGUCAAUGCCACAGUAAUGAAAAAAAAAUUAAUUCAGAUUUAGCUCAUUAAAUUAAGAUAUUAUUAUAAAAAUAUUUUGGGUCAGACUUUUAAAGACAGUUAUAUAUAGUAUCUAUAACUUUUUUACUUUUUGAAUCAAAUUGUUUAAAUAAUAAAAAAUAUUGUUUUAUUUAUUUUUGUAAUAUAAAAUUUUUUUUCAUUAAAUACGAAUAUUUAAAUAUAAAAGAUAAAAUAAUUAAAGUGAAAAUGAAAUUAUAUAUUUUUAAUUAUGAAUGAUAAUUUUAUUUAUUUGUAUUUUAUUAUAUUUUUAAAUAUUAUCCAAUUUAUACCCUUAAGCUUAGGAAAGUGUUUAUUUUUCAAGACUUUCUAUCAUUUUGUAAAUUUAAAUGCAUUAUUUUUAAAUUUAAAUUUGAUAAUUAUAUAAAAUUUGAAAAUAAUUUAUGAAAAGACAAAUAAUCUAUUUUCACUUAAAAAAUUCAAAAAAUAAAAAAUUUAUAAUAGUUCAUUUUUAAUGUGUCUCGAAAUAGUUCAUUUUUAAUGUGUCUCCAAAUUAGAAAAUAAAACCACUCCGAUGACUAAAGAUUUAUUUUGAUAAAAAGAAAGAUUGAUUAUGAUAAAAUUAAAAAUAAUAGUGAAGAUAAAAUUAAUUAUGACAACAGUAAAAUUUAUUAUUAUAAUGAUGAUAUUAAAAUCAAUAAUAGAAAGAUACAUUUGGAUGUAAACACAAUAAUAACAAUGAGAUGAAUUGUGAUGAAAAAAAUAAUUAUUAAAGAUAUUAUAUUAAAAUUUAUAUAUAAUAAAAAAUUUUAAUUAUUUGACAUUUAUGAAAAGAAUUUAAAAAUAAUAAAAUUAUAUUUAUGUCAAAUAAUAAAUUUUAAUAAAUAAUUAAAAAUUAAUAAAAAAAGAUAGUAACAUAUCAAAUGAUUUUUUAAGUAUGUAUAAUUAAAUUAUCAACUGUUUUGACAAAAUGGUAAUAAAAGAAGAUUUAUAGGACAAAAGAGUAAAAAAAAGAUGCGAUGGCGCGCCGCAUCCCUUUCUCACCAGAAGACAAUUGAGCUUUCGCCGGUGCCAUAUCAGCACAGUCGUGCUGCAACUGUGUUACCCAAACAAAAAAACCACAAAUCUGCGACACGUUUACAACCAAAGGAGGCUUCAUCUGACCAAACAACGGACACGAUUGAAUCCCAAUCAUGCCAAAGUCAGCCUCGCAAUAAAUUAACUUUGGUGGUGUAUGGGACCAAUUCGGACUAGUCCUUUCAUAGUCCGAAAACAAAAUACAAACAAUUACGUCCCAACAAUUGCAGAAAAGCAUAGUACGUAUCAAUGCCUUGUCAUGGAAAGGACUAAUAAGUAGCUGUGAUUGUUAUAAACAUGGGAUGUUGAAGCUUGAUUUUAAUAAUAAUAUUAAGUUUUACAAAGACAUUAGUUAGGUUUAAGUUCUAUCAUACUUAAGUUUGAUUUAAUUUUAUAAUUUUAUAUUCAAAUCAUCAAAUUAUAAGUUAGUUUAUUAAUUAGUUAAUUUAUUUGUUUGAUUUUUUAUAUAAAAGUCGUGAUACAAGAAAUAAAAAUAUUAUAAGUAUUAAAAUUUAAAUUUAUUAAAUAUUAUUUUUUAAAAAUAAUUAUAUAAAUUAAUUAAAUUUAAUUUAUUUAAUUGAUCUAAUUCAUUGAUUUUUUACAUAAGAUGCAAGUAAUGAUUUAUAGUUGUAAUUUUUCUUUCAAUUAUAAAUUCACGAAAAAAAUCGUUUGUAUAGAUUCCUUAAAUUGCUGGGUUGUAGGGUCUAAUGGAGGCAUUCAAAGACACGACUCAAGAUAGGAUCAGCACUUUGUCUAGACAAAAUCGUGGCGACCCUCAAAGUUGGAUGCCUUUUGUUUGCCAAAGAGUGAUGACGAGUCUUACAAUUGAUAGUUAUUAAAAAAAAAAAAAAAAAAAAGAAAAGGGAAAGGGAAAUGAUUCAAGAUAUGCAAUUGCUAUAAGUUAUUGUCUAGGUUUGCUAUUACUCUGUAAUUUAUCGUCGUCGUAUUAUAUUUUAUGUCAAAUAUAAUUUUAGAUAUAAUAUAAAUAAUUUUUACAUAAAUAUGAUAUAAAUAUAUGAAUAAUUUAAAUACAAAUAUGAUAUAUUUAUCAUAAAUAUUAUAUGUGAUACAAGAUAAUUAAUAUAGUUAAAAUUAAUUAACAUUCAAUUAAUACAAUACGAUAUAAUAUAAUUAACAUUAUUAUAUAUGAAUAAUACAAUUAGAUACAAUUAAUUAUCUAAAUAAUAUGAAAUAAUACGAUACGAUUAACACGAUUAUAUAUAAAUAACACGAUUAAACAAAAUCAAUCUAUUUAUUUAAACAAAGAAAUCAUUUAAAUUAAUAUUUAAACAAAAAAUUCAAAAAUUAAAUAUUUAUAAUUUAUUUAAACACCAAAAUGAUAUGAUAAAUACUAUUAUUAUUUUAUUUUUUAAAUAAAUUAAAAAUUAAAAAUAAUAUUAUAUCUUAAACAUAUCAUGAACAUGAUAUAAAUAAUAUCAUGUUUUAAUCAUAUUAACAUAACUAAAAUACAAAAUAUGAUUAUAUUAAAUUCAUACAUAAUUUUUUUAUAUUAAUUUUAUAUUAUAUUAUCAUAUCAUGUAUAAAACUGUCAGAUCAAAUCCUUAUGAAAUUUUAAAUUAAAUGAGUUUUAAAGUCUCAUUCCCUGCACCAACGGAUCUGACCUUAGAUUUUAAGAGAUCAAAUAAUAUUAUACUUGGCUUUAUAUUUUAUUAGAUAUAUCUUAUUAUAUUUAUAUUCAUGAAAAAUAUAUAUUUAUGGAUGAAAGUAAUAUACAAAUAAAAAUAAAUUUACAAAAUAAUAAAUUUAUUGAUUUAUAAAUAUUAUAAAAAACAAAAAAAUCAAAUAAAUAAUUUUAUUUAAAAUUAUGGGUGAUGUUUUGUUAUAUAAAUAAAUUGUUAAAUAAUAUAUUUUUUUCAAAACAAGAAAAAUAAAAUACAUCUUUAAAUAGUUUUAUCUAAGAUGUUUUCUAACAUUUUACAAAAUGGUCCUAAAUCUUUGCAAGCAAGAGGAGAUCUAAAGUAGAGUUAAAAGUAAAAAUUUAUAUGCAUUAAUGAUUAAUAGUUUGUAUAUAUAGCUUAUCUCAUCUAAUGUUUUUUGAAUUUAAACUAGAUUUAUCUUAAAUUUAAACAACCUAAAGAAAAGGGAAAAAACAUUUGAAAAACAAAGAAAAAAAAAUUCAUUUUGAUUUUUUUUUUAUUGUAGUUCCUACUUUCUCACUACCCUCUCUUAAAAGAAACUCUAGCCAGCACCGUACAGUCACCAGCCAUCGUCCGCCACCAUUCUGUUCGUUGUCUUCCGCCGCUCGCCGACGCCCAUUUAUCACCAAUCUUCAAUUUCAAGCUCCUUUCAAUCUAUUCUUUCCCUUCUUCAUGUUGGAUUCUUACAAAAAGAGUUCGAUUAGUCUAGAUCUAAUCCGAAACCCAACUGCUCCUCCCCUCUACAACUCUAUUUCGCCUCUACCAACACUAGAAUCAAACCUAGAAAUCCUUUCCUCCAUCAAUUUCCCUCUGUUUCAAUCGUUAAAACAUCAAAAACAACUAAGAAAAUCCUUAAAUUUGCAAAAACUGAGUGAAAAUAAAUAACGAACAACAUUUUCAGAUUUGUUUUAUCUUGAAAAUUUGUCUACUGAGGUGAUAUCUACUAGAGAAAGAGUAAUCCAUUGCCAUGUACAAACAAGCACGAAACAGAAAAAAAAUUCAUGGUUGCUCUUAGAACACUAUCCGCAACCACUUGUCUUAAGUUGUCAAAUACAAUACAUCUUACCUUGACUUGAAAGAUUGAACAACUUAUCUAUAUUGAAUUUUUUCGUACCAUAAAAAAAAAUAUUUUAAUGGGAUAAAUUAGAGUUCAGUGAUGUUGAUGAAAUUAUGAUCAACGUUCAGUGACUAGGUAAAUAACAUAUUUUUCCUAUCAAAAAGCCAACACACAAGGUCAAAAACAGACAACAAGAACAUGUUUAUGCUGAUAUUGUAGAUGCUACUUGUUAAUUUCUUGUGUUUCUUCUAAGCCAAGGUUCUAAAACAAAAUUUUGGAUCUACGCACAGCAAGCAGACGAUCAUUACUAUUUCAAUUGCUCCCGGCUCAUAUCAUGACUUAACAAAUUCCAUCUUUAAUCUCGCAUCACCACUUGGGCAUGCAGUAGAGUGGUAAUGGAUUUUACAGUUGGUCCACUUGGUCGAUCGAUCUGAAAAAUCAAUAACCGAAUUAAACGACCAUAUUAAAAAAGUCAAAACCAACCAAACCAUUCUCAAUAACCGAUAUGGUAAUUGGCAAAUCUGCCUUUGGGGUAAAAUGUUUCCACAAUAUUAAACUUUACAAAUAUAUUACUUUCAACACAAUCUGCCUUUGGGGCAAAAUAUUUAAACAUUAUUGGAAUGUGCAUGUCAUAACUUUUUCUCCUCAAAUACAAAACAUUAAAUAUUCAAAUCCUGCAAAGGAAUGUUGAACCAAAUAGAAAGGAGAAGAUGAUAUUACCUACCAACAUUUUUAGGCCUCACCUCAAUUCCUUCAAUAAUGAGGCCACUCUUAAAGUAAUUACAGUCGAUCUCCCGAAGGCAAAACUCCACUGUCCCAUCAUCUCCACAUUCAUUCAAAAACUCACCCAUUUCAAUCUCCAUCCAUCCAUCUCCUCUUUCUUGAGCUUGUUGGGGAACAUUUUGUGGAUAGUCUAGAGACACACUCCUUACUUCCCCUGAUGUGGUUCCUUCCAUGUUCACAUGCACACCUACAGUUCUCUGUCUAAACCCAUAUCUUCUCCUUCUAAGCUUAAACACAAGGUAUGCUGCAUAGUUUGUUCCGGGAGAUAACUUUCUGGUCUCAAUCUUUCCCUUCACAUCCAGCCACCACACUAACCUGAGCUCAGCAACUUCAGAGAACCUGUCAAUAUGUUGGAGACAGAACCACAAUAACUUGAGCUCAUCAACAAUGUCAUUCUGUAAGUCAUAGAUUUAUGCAGAAAAGCAUAGUUUUUCUUCUGGUAAUUGACAUUGUUUUUCCUAGCAAACACAGUCGCGUAAUCUGUUGAUAAAGUACUAAAUCGCGGAUCAAACCCUGACUGCCACAAAUACAAUAAAAAAAGACAUUGUUUUUCCUAAGCAGCAGUAUUGAGUUAUGGCCAAUUAAGAUCUUAACAUGAGAAUAUCAUUGAACAAAUAAAAAAAAAAAAAAGAAGAAAACAAACCUAGAAUCAGGGUGAUCUGUCCAAUUCCAAUACUCAGGCGUCUCUCCCCAUAUAAUCGACAGUGCUCUUGCCCCUAGCAUAUAGCAUUUUUUCCCAGUCUCUUUCUCCAAUUGAAAGCUCUAUUUAGACACCAGCAACCUUAAUUUUUCAGAUAAAUGCACAAAAUGGAGCAAAACAACACAUACUUUAAACCAUAUAGUACAAAUUGUGCAUGUUUAGCUUUGAAGAAAUUGAUCAACUUAGCCAUGAUUCCUUCUGGUCCAGUAUCAAACAUCCCUUAAAAAUGCUAUACAUAAUUAAAAUUGUUCUAAAAAUUAAAUUUAAAACAUCCCUUAAACACAUGUUCUUGUAGCACAAAGUUGGAAAAGUGGAUACAGGGUCAAAUUUGAACUUACCAUGGUACCAUUUUCAAUGAGAAUGGGAUGAGAGGAGAGAUAAAAAUAAAGAUCCUUCUUUGCCCAUGAAAGCAAAGAUGGAGAUGAGGAUCCUGAAAUAUUUUUCUGAUAAUCACAAGGUAGAAACCUCUCCCACACAGCAUCAGAGUCUGCAAUUGAUCUCAAGGCAGGAGAAACCAGGGCUAAUCGAAGUGCGUCUCGAGGCGAAGUCAAUGAUAUGAUCAGACACACGCAGUCUUCUGGCAACAGCUUUGUAAAAUCCAUUGUUCUUAUAAAUUUUGGAUCAGAAAUGAAACAAGGAAAAAUGGCUUUUCGACUGUUGUCUGCUGGAGAUGGCUUGUCUAGGUUUGGUUGAGAAAAUUUUCACUUAAAUCCUUCGUUGUUAAGUUUCAUUCACCACUAGAAUUCAAUAAUUAUUUCAAUUAUUUAUACUUUAUUAUAAUUAAUUAAAUUAUAAAUUUUUUAUUUUAUGUCAAUAAAAUCUUAAAUUUUUAUUUUUAUUUUUAUUUGAAUCCUCGAAUAAAUGAAAAUAAAAGUUAAAGAUUAAUCACUUUUUGUUUAAUAAAAAUUUAAUUGAUAAAAAUAAGUAUUUAAAAAUUUAAUUGUUUCUAAUAAAAUAAUAAAAAUUUAAGUGAUUAUUGAAUUUUUAUUGGAUAAUCCUUUUAUCCUUUAACCUAAAUAAAACUAAACAAUUUAUUUAUCUUUAAUUUUCGUUAAAAAAUUGUUUUGUGAAAAGUAAAUUUUUUAGUUUUCUUUUUCACUUAACGAUAGAUUCUCAAUCUCUCCCUCCACUUUUCUCUCUAUCUAUCAGUAUUAUGAUUAAAAAGUAUAAAUAACAUAUUAAUAUUCAUAAAUUAUUUGAAUUUGAUUUAAAUAAAAUUUAAAUUUAAUUCGAUUAUUAUUGAAUUGAGUACGAAUUCAAAUAAUUUGAUUUAUCGAUCGAGUUGAAUUUAAGUAUUUUUAUAUUUGACUCGAAUCACUCGUGAGUUUAAUCAAAUUUUUAUAUUUUAAUAUAUUUUAAUUAUUUUAAUUAAUAAAAUAUUUACUCGAACUUAAGUUCGGAUAUAAAUAAUCAAAUUUUUAUUAAAUAUAAAAAUUAAAUUUAUUUUUAUAUGUUAAUCGAAUUUAAUCGAACAAAUUCAAAUAACUUAAUUUUUAUCUUAAAUUAAAUUCAAACUAAAAAUAAAACUCAAUUAAAUUUAAAUCAAAUUUUGAAACCAAAUUUUAAAUCAAACUCAAAUUUACACUUAACAUUAUAUAAAUUCAAACUUAAUCGAUUGUAUUAGGACUUUGAUUCCGUUGUUACUGUUGGAGCGAGUCGCUCAAUAGAAAUUUGGAAUUGUCUGAUAAAGCUUAAAGACGAAGAUUUUUUUUUUUUUUUUUUUUGUCUUUGUGCUUUGACUGGUUUAUUAACUCAACCUGCAUUUAAUGCUAUACGGUUGAUUUUUAGAUUUAAAAAAAUAUAAAAAAAACGAUAUUAAAGAGAAUAAGUAAUUUAUGAGGUUUAUUAAGUUUAAAAAAUAUAAAAUUUUUGUGUUUAGUUAAAAAUUAUUUAAUAAAACAUUUUAUUAUAUUGUUUUUGAUAAUAUAUGAAUAAAAAUAUAAAAAUAACUUAUUUAUUUAAUAUUUUAUAGAUUUUUAGUUAUAAAUUAUUUAUAUAUUUAAUUAAAUAUUUUAAAUAUUUUUUAAUUUAUUUAUUUUAAAAAAAUGGCAAUGGUUUCCUUUUAAUAAACACCUUCUCAUAUAUUACAAAAUUUAUAAAAAUAUAAAAAUAAAUUUCCAAUAUACUUUUAAUAAAAUUAUAUAGUAGAACUUGUAGUUGUCAAAAUUACUAUAAAAAAAUGAUAAAAGAAUGUUAUAUUAGAGAAUAUAAAUUCAUUUUUUUAAAAAUAAAAAAAAUAAAAAAAUGUGUGUAUUAUUCGAAAAGAUAGUUUCUUGAAUGGAAGAUAACAAAUGAUUUUGAAUUUUAUGCUUUCAAAAUGAAAGGAAUUCAUUAACAUUAAUGUCAGAUAAUGAUCAUAAAUGUUAAUAAUUUGACAUUUUUAUAAUCGACGUUAUGAAAUAAGAAAAUGUAGUAAAUAUUAAAAAAUUAACUUUUUUUUGCAAUAAAACAUCGUUUUUUUUCUCCCAAAAAAAUCCUUUUAUUUGUUUGAAGUAUAUAAACUUUUUAAUCUUAAAAUUUUUUCAUAAUAUAUUUUCAACAAAAAUUGUGUUUUUAAUUUUAAAAAUAUUAUUUUUGUUAAAACUAUAAAAUUCUAAAAAGAAAAUUUUUUAAUAUAUUUUAAAUAAAAAUUGUGUUUUUGUUUUAAACUAUAUUAAGAAAAAAUUUAAUGUCUUAAUAUCUUAUAAAAAAUUAUCAUAUUUCUAAAAUAAAUAAUGUUGUAUAUAAUUUAAAAAUACAAUUAAAUGAAGGUAAAUCGUGCUUUUGUUAGGAGAAUCAAUUUUUUUCCUUUUGAUUUUUAAAAUAUGAAUUCAAAUUCAGUUCUUCCAGCAAAGAUAACAGAAAUAUAUCUGCUCAUUACUGAAUUAAAUAUUUCAAAUGCCAAUUUUUUAAUCUAAUUAUGAUGCCCAUUCAUCAAAAUAAAUAGUGAAAUCGAUGAUAUGGUAGCAAAUUGAAGGUUAGGGACAACUUUUAUAUAUUGUUAUUGAUAAUAUAUAAUAGAUUUGCUUAUUAUUUUUAAGAUUCUAUCAUGAGAAAUUGAUAUAUGACUAAAGAAAAUUUGCAUUUUGUUUGAUAUGUAUGUGUGCACAAUAAUCUAUGUAAAUUUAUGUGAAAGAACUACUUUGUGUGAUGAAAUACACAUGUAGAGGCCAUGUUCAAUUGUAAUGCCAUGAUAAUCUUUGUAAUGUUAAAGAUAUAAAGAAUAUAUCCAAUCUUGUGAGUUGUGAUAAUAUAUAUAUAUAUACACACACACAUAAGUAACUAUUAAGUUUUCCAUGUCCUUUAAAACAAAAAUAAUGAACGAACAAAAUUACUCAGCAGUGUUAAAUUCAUUUUAUACUUCCACGGGUUAUCUCAUUUUAUGGUUUAAGUACACAUUAUGUGAAUUAUAUGACAAUGAAUUGAAACAACCAUAAGCCUAGAAUUGACUGUGGAGUACUAGUUACUUACAUAUUUGUAAGACCAUAAUUAUUUAAAUCAAAAUAAAAUUCUCAAGAAUUGCGCAUUAAAUUUUUUUUUGAAAUUGUAGAUCUUCAUUGAAAGAAUUAAGUACAUGUGCUAUUGUCAUAAGUUCAUAUUUUGUUUCAUACUUGUACUUGAUUAAUCUAGAGAAGAAUGCAUGAUUUAUAGUAAUUUAUUUAUUUAUUGUUUCAAUGCUUAUAUCUUAUUGAUUAAAUAUUUUAUUUAUGUUAUGCAAGAAAAAAAACUUAUCAUUUACUUCAAUUUCAUUGAAGAAGUUAUAUGACUCUUGAAUAAACAUGGAAUUAAAAAUAAAAAACUAUUAACCAUGAAAAUGAAUAAAAGGUAACAUAUUUUUAAGGGAGGUUUGUAGUCUAUGUUACUAAAAGGUUAAAAGGAAUCGCGAUCUAAUCCAUUUCAUUAUUUGACAUGUGAACUCAUGAUUGGCUUAUUUUACAAAUUUUAUUAUCAAUUAAGAAAUAGUUUUCACUACAAAUGAAUUUAUAGCAUAUAUUACUUGUAUGACAAAAUUUUCUAGUCAAAGGCAGAAUAGUGGAAACGGAAGAGUAUAGGCUUUCACACCUAAGCCCACUAUUUUGAUAUGAAAAAAAAUUUUAUAUAAAAAAAUGUCUUACUUGGUCGGUAGUCAUGAGUUUAGCUAAAAAAAAAAAGUUUUGAAGAUAACAAUGUGACUAAUUAUUAUAUUUGAAUAUGUUUAAUUUGAUUAUUGUGGGCCAUAACAUAUAUGAUUGCAUUGGUAGAUAUAGUUUGAACUAGAUAAUUUAUGGGUAAAAGAGAAUUAUCUCUCUUUGUGUGAUCUAAAUGAAAAAUUAAAAGAAUAGAACUUGAUAUAAUUAAAAGGUUCAUGACAAAAAAAUAAAGAAAUAUAAAUAAAUUAGUAGAGUAAUUUUAACAAAAUAAUUUUAAUAAAAUGAAUAAAAUUUAUUUUUAUUAAAAAAUUUUAAUAACAUUGAUGUUGACACAUAGAUGACUCAAGAUGAUAAACUUACCUUGAUAUUGGAGUUGAUAUUGAUGUAGAGGCUUGUGCUUUCAACUUGAGAAAAGAACCAACUUACGUGAACAAAACAUGUGUAAUUAUAUAUAUUUUAGACUGAAACAUAGUGUCCUGAGUGACGCGGUCAAGUACAUUAUUGCUUGUUUUGUAAUUAUCAUUCAAGUACCAACCAUCCGGUUGGAGCCAAUCGUUUUUGUUGAAAAUUCAUUGCUUUGAUGCCGGAAAUUUGAGCUGCAAGAAUACCUAUUUGGAGUCCAUAAUUCCAUUUCUCAUUCAAUUUUGUUAGCUAUUUGCUGUUGUGAUUUAGAACGGUGUACAUUAAAUUUUUAUUUUGACAAAUAGAUUUAAUGUUUAUAUUAGUUAUUCAUGUUUUGAAUAAUUAUAUUUUGAACAAAACUAUUUGUUUAUAAUUGUUAAGAAUAAAAGAGUUAUGAUUAUUUAUAAUAAUUGAUAAUGAAAAAAUUAUAACUAUUUAAAUAUGUUUAAACAUUUACCUAUAAAAGUUAAUAACAAAAGUUAUAAUUAUUAUGCUUAAACAUUUUUAUUUUGUAAUAAUUAUUUUGGAGAUCGCUUGACGAAUUUACGAACAUAAGGUAUUACCAUUAAUAUUUUUUGAUUAUAUGUGAUUAAUCACUUAUUAAAAUUUAUUUUUUUAAUAAAAUUUUAAAAAUUUAUUAAAAUUUAUUAAAAAUUUUUUUUGAAUAUACAAAAACAGUUUAAGCUCAAGAAUACAGUUAAACAUAGAAAAAAAUUAACACCUCCACAUUCACAUUCACAUUCACAUUCACAUGCACACCUACAGUUCUCUCUAAACCCAGGUCUUAUCUUAUUAAGCUUAAACACAAGGUAUGCUGCAUAGUUUGUUCCGGGAGAUAAUUUUCUAGUCUCAAUACUUCCCUUCACAUCCAGUCACCAAACUAGCCUGAGCUCAGUAACUUUAGAGAAUAAGUGGUGAGCAAAAAUUGGUUUG